UUGUGUUCUCCCGGUUGUAUAGU
rnacentral:rRNA from 1 species